rnacentral:rRNA from 1 species
UACAGAGGUCUCAAGCGUUGUUCGGAAUCACUGGGCGUAAAGGGUGCGUAGGCCGCACGGUAAGUCAGAUGUGAAAGCCCGGAGCUCAACUCCGGAACUGCAUCCGAUACUGCCGUGCUUGAGGACUGGAGAGGAGUCUGGAAUUCACAGUGGAGCAGUGAAAUGCGUAGAUAUCUGGAGGAACACCGGUGGCGAAGGCGGCAUCCUGGACCAAUACUGACGCUGAGGAGCGAAAGCCAGGGGAGCAAACGGG